rnacentral:tRNA from 1 species
UGUGUUGUGGCUCAGUGGUAAAGUACUUUCUUAGUGUGUACAAGGCCCUGGGUUCAAUUCCUAGCAACACAC